UACAGGUGACUUGUAAAUGUUU
rnacentral:miRNA from 1 species